UACGUAGGGUGCAAGCGUUGUCCGGAAUUAUUGGGCGUAAAGAGCUCGUAGGCGGCUUGUCGCGUCUGCUGUGAAAACCCGAGGCUCAACCUCGGGCUUGCAGUGGGUACGGGCAGGCUAGAGUGCGGUAGGGGAGAUUGGAAUUCCUGGUGUAGCGGUGGAAUGCGCAGAUAUCAGGAGGAACACCAAUGGCGAAGGCAGAUCUCUGGGCCGUAACUGACGCUGAGGAGCGAAAGCAUGGGGAGCGAACAGG
rnacentral:rRNA from 1 species